rnacentral:lncRNA from 1 species
GAGUUGGUGUGCGUGCAUGAGUGCGUGCGCAUGCCUGUAUCUUUUAGCUUGCUUUAGUAUGCAUAUGGGUGGGUGUCUACAUGUAUUUAUUGUGUUUUGUGCAUUUUUUCUUUUAGCUUGCUUGCGUGUGCUUAUGAGCGCAUGUCAUGUAUGUGCACAUGCAUAUAUAUAUAAAUGCAAACCUAGACAGCUUCGUAUGAUUUACUAUAAUUUGUUUAUAAAUACACAUAUGAUCGUUGUGCUUGUGUGCGUGCUUGGACAUGUAUAUAUAUUUGUACAGGUACAUCCUUUGCAAAUGACUGCCUACUAUAGUCAGUGUCUAGCACAAAACUCAGUGUUCUGCUUUGAACUGAUUCACAAAAGGGGUGAAGCUUGAUGUUAGAAGGGUGAAUUUGCCUCCAGUUAGCAUGCUUAAACCAUCAUUAUGUCCUUCAUUAUUGUGCAAUACUCUUGCCGCAGGUGCAUCAUGUAUAUUUUUCAAUUUUCCUUGCAAUCAAUGUUCUUUUAAAGCUUGCAUCUUUGUUGCUUUGGACUAACUCAACUGCAUUUUGUAUUUCUGGAUAUUGUCUUGUUGAUUGGCUGACUCUUGGUUUAAUAAUUGUAGCCUUCAAGCCAAGGUCCGCCGUACCGGUACCGGUCGGCGUACCGGUGGCCGGCCGGACCGGUAUGGUACGUACCGGCCGGUACCGGUACCGUACCGGCCGGUACGCGGUGGUUUCAAAAACCACAGCGCGUGGCGCUGUGGUUCAAAAAAAAAAUUGUACCGAUGCGAACCGGCCGGUACGGCAUCGGUCUAGGACCGGACCGGUACAGCAUUCCAUGCUUCAAGCUUUAAUUAGUAUUCACCAAUGCAUGCUGGAGUUUCAAAUGAGUCGGCCCAUCCGAUCAUUUCCUAGGUUGAGCUGGAAUCCUCUUGGUUGGAUUAAGCCUGCAUUCCUUGUAACAGGAUUCUCUCUCUCUCACUCAUGCAUGCACCCCCCCUAUCUUCUUGCUGUGUAUAUGGAUGUGUAGAUGUAUUGUAUGUAUGCAUGUGUGUUUAUUUUAUCAACUUGCUUGAGUGUGCAUAUAGGGUGGGUUUUGUAUUUCUAGAUGUUUGUGUAUACAACAUAUGCCCUUAUAUAUGUUUGUACAUUUUACUUUUUUUUAGAUUGCUUGAGUGUGUCUACAUGUGAGCGAGUUGGUGUGUGUGCAUGUGCGUGCGCAUGCCUGUAUCUUUUAGCUUGCUUCAGUAUGCAUAUGGGUGGGUGUCUGCAUGUAUUUAUGUGUUUUGUGCGUUUUUUCUUUUAGCUUUCUUGAGUGUGCUUAUGAGUGCAUGUCUACAUGCGUGUCACGUAUAUGCACAUGCAUAUAUAUGUUUGUAUGUAUGAUUUACUAUAGUUUGUUUAUAAAUACACAUAUAAGCAUUGUGCUUGUGUGCUUGCCUAGACAUGUAUAUAUAUUUGUACAGGUACAUCCUUUGCAAUUGACUGCCUACUAUAGUC